AACCUUAAAGUGCACUUGAAAAGCUCACACAAGAAGGCUAACCUAGCUUACCUGGAGAAGGUAGAGGGAGUGUUCGCCCAGGGCACCAAACAGGCUAGGACUGCCACUGACUGAGGUUGUCAGCUGAGGUUGAUAUUUUACAGAAAAAAUUCCCCGAGGUCCACCGAGUCAAGAGCUAUCAACACUGGUUCUGUGGACAAAGUCCUGGGAAAGAUAUAUGUCGAGGAGACUCUGGUGGAGGAGUGGUUCAUAAUGGCAGGAUUUAUGGGGUCUCUUCUUUUGUGGGAGAUCCGGACUUUGUAUGCAGAGCACCGGCUGCCUUCAUGGACCUCUGUGAUCCUGAGUAUGCAGAUUGGACCAGGAAAACUAUCAACCCAUAAAAAGCUGUAAGGUGUGGAUAACUGUAAACAAGCUGAAAUAAAUAAUCUUUAGAGUUUAGCUUUGCAAAAGUUGAAUAAAGUUGAAUAAAACACAAUAGAAAUAGAAAAAAAUGCCACAAAGCUGAAAAACUGAACAAAAAACAAACAAAAAACAAACACAAAUUACAACAGAAAUAAUAAUAACAAUAUAAAAAAAAACACAAUAGAAGUACAAAAAACCCUUUCAUCAUAAAACUUGGUGGCAAAGUGGAAUAUGGUAAGGAAAGGCUAAUUUAAGUGCUUUCAUUACUCAAAGGUUCCUGUUAAUUAUGCAUGAAGUGACUUCUGGAGGGGAAUGAAACUUAACUGAAAUGCUCCCUGUGUUUGACCUGUCAAAUGCAGGCGUAACUCCUGUUAUUCAUUGUUGUAUUUCAGGUCUGCUGUGCACGACGUCUGUGAAUCUGAGUAAUUUGGUUCAGAUGAAGGAAUAAGACUGCUCAGAUGCUUUGGGUGUCACGUAAUGAUUCCUCAGGUUAAGGUGUCUUUGGUGCCCUUUGAUUUCAAUCUAACUGCACAUUGAACAGAAAUCCUGCCAUGACAGAACACACUAAUGCCUUUUCAAGGGAGAACCGAUCCUAAUCUGAGCUGUCAGCCCCAAGUUCUCUGCAGUCAUCAAAUCAAGCAUAAUCUGGUUUGAACAGGCUCCCUGCCUCACUGCAAAAGCCUUUUUACCAGCUGCUGUUUGACAAAUUGCAAAGCCUCUGAAGAGACUUUAGAAUGGGGAAAAAGGGAUACGAAGAAAGAGCUGUACAAAAAGCUAUCCAUGCACUCCUACUGUUUAACAUUUCACUUGGAGUUUAGUGACUGUAUUGUAUCUGUGGAUUGCAUUAUAGUUUCUCUGAGAGCUUUGCUCCCUGAAGAUUUUAUGACCUGUGAACGCUGAGUCUAUCUUGUGGCUGUAAACCAGUCUGCUCAGCAUGUCACUGCAUGGCAGAGUUUCUCUCCAUUUUUUUGAAUCACCUUUGCUCAGUUGUGCUCCUAACUGAUCUCCUGAGUUUGGCUGUAUUCCUGGACUUUGCCCUUUAGUUACUCUUCAGUCUCUUUAACACACGGGCUGCCAAAUUUAGGAGAACACAGUGAGACAGAUGAAGCUUGCACCAGAUGGUAGAAACACAAUGAUCAUGGUCUUAGACACAGCAUCCACACUCUGCUCCGUACAUGAUAGUGUGUGUGUGUGUGGUGCUGUUUGCAGGAACUUGAUGAGGCUUUGCUUAAGUGGAAAUCCACUGAUGUUCAAGCCCCAGGGAAGUGGGUGGGGGGAUAGGACCUCUGGGGCCCUCUUCCUGAUGGAGCCCUACCUGACUCCUUUCACUGCUAAAGCAAGAAUCUGUUUAAACAAACAUAAUGACAACAACAAAAGUCACUCAACAGAAUAGUGGAGAAGUUAUUUCCUUUAUUAGUUAGUGUUUAGAUUUUCAUGUGUUCAUUUUUGUUGGUGUCACAUAGCUUAUAGAUGUGGACAGUUUUAUUGGUGCCACAGCUCACAGCUCAUUGAAACAAUACUUCAUUUCAUCAGAAUCAUCAAAUUAUUCUGUUAAAAGCAACCGCCCAGUGUACUUGCAUGGCUUUAGUAUGUGAAAGAGUGAACCAAUAAAAAUGUGAAAAGAAUGGAUUUGUUGAUUUUACAGAGAUUUGCUAAAAUACUUUGAACUCGUUUGUUGGUACCCAUAAAGAGACCACCAGUCCUUGCAUUAUAACCAUAUUUCAAAGUUAGUGUUUAAUAAGAUAUUAUUAACUUUCAAAGCCUUUAUUGAGAAAACUGAAUUGAAAUUCCAAGAUACACAUUUAGACAUUAUAUGUAUCAGUUUCAUACUAUGUUUGCACCUCUGAAGCCCAACUGAUCCCCCAUGACUGCAUUUAAUAUCCAUCAUUUAUAUGAGAUGAGCAAAGUCUGUGUAUCAAAAAGUUUCUGACAAUAUUGCUGGACAUAAUUGAGCUAUUGAUGUAAAAGUGCCUGGUUGUGUUACACUGACCCUAUGUUACUAACUAUAGGCUGUCAUAUAUUAACUGUUCCUCUACGUUCCUCAAUAAAUGCAGCCAUUGUUACUCCCCUGAAAA